rnacentral:rRNA from 1 species
GUGCCAGCAGSUGSGGUUAUACAAAAAAUACAAGUUAAUUUUAUUAAAUUAAGUUAAAUUGAUAAAUAUUUAAUAAUAAAAAAAUUUUUAAGUGAAAUUUUAAUUUUUUUAUUUUUAAAAUUAAAAAAAGUGUUGAAACUAAAAAAUUUUGUUAAUAAACUAGGAUUAGAUACCCUAUUAUAAAAAAUGUAUUUUAUAAAAAUUAGAGUAGUAGUAGUUAUGGUCUUGAAACUCAAAAAAUUUGGCGGUAUUUUAGUCUAUUCAGAGGAACCUGUGGUAUAAUCGAUAAUCCACGAUGAAUCUUACUUAUUUUUGUUUUUCAAUUUGUAUACCGCCGUUAUUUAAAAAUUUUUUGAAAAUAAUAAUUUUUAUAAUUUUUUAUUAAAUARAAAGUCAGGUCAAGGKGCAGUUUAUAUUUAAGUAUUUCAUGGGUUACAAUAAAUUUAUUUAAAUGGAUUAAAUUAUGAAAUUAAUUUAUGAAGGKGGAUUUGGCAGUAAAUUUUUAAAGAUUARAAAAUUGAUUUUAGCUCUAAAAUAUG